UCAUUUCACUUAGCAUCAUCUUAUGUGUUCAUAAGGGCAUAACUGUUGGGUUCUUGUGAUCUUCUACUAUGACUAGCCAAAACAUGUAUUAAUUAUUCCCUAUGAAGGAAACCAUAAAGCCCAUGUUCUUUGGGUCUGAUUCCCUUCACUUGUAUGAUUUUUUCCAAGUCCUUCCGUUUCCUUAUGAAUGGGGAAGUGUCGUUCUUUCUGAUAGAGGCAUAUAAUUCCACUGUGUGUCUGCACCACAUAUUCUAGAUCCAC